rnacentral:rRNA from 1 species
AAUCAACGCUGGCGGCGUGCCUCAGACAUGCAAGUCGAACGAUUAAAGCUCUCUUCGGAGAGUGCAUAGAGUGGCGCACGGGUGAGUAACACGUAAGUAAUCUACCUUUGAGUGGGGAAUAACGUCCGGAAACGGACGCUAAUACCGCAUAAUGCAGCGGCAUCGCAAGAUGACAGUUGUUAAAGAUUUAUCGCUUGAAGAGGAGCUUGCGGCAGAUUAGCUAGUUGGUAAGGUAAUGGCUUACCAAGGCUACGAUCUGUAACCGGUCUAAGAGGACGGUCGGUCACACUGACACUGAAUAACGGGUCAGACUCCUACGGGAGGCAGCAGUCGGGAAUUUUGGGCAAUGGGCGAAAGCCUGACCCAGCAACGCCGCGUGAAGGAUGAAGUAAUUUCGGUAUGUAAACUUCGAAAGAAUGGGAAGAAUAAAUGACGGUACCAUUUAUAAGG